AUUGAACGCUGGCGGCAGGCCUAACACAUGCAAGUCGAACGGUAACACGAAGAAUCUUUCUUCUUUGCUGGCGAGGGGCGGACGGGUGAGUCAUGUCUGGGAAACUCCCUGAUGUGGGGGGAUAACUACUGGAAACGGUAGCUAAUACCUCAUAACUUCUCCAGCCCAAAGAGGGGGACCUUCGGGCCUCUUGCCGUCGGGUGUGCCCAGCUGGUAGUAGCUAGUAGGUGGGGUUACGGCUCACCUAGGCGACGAUCCCUAGCUGGUCUGAGAGGAUGAGCAGCCACACUGGAACUGAGACACGGUCCAGGCUCCUACGGGAGGCAGCAGUGGGGAAUAUUGCACAAUGGGCGCAAGCCUGAUGCAGCCAUGCCGCGUGUAUGAAGAAGGCCUUCGGGUUGUAAAGUACUUUCAGCGGGGAGAAAGGGAGUAAAGUUAAUACCUUUACUCAUUGACGUUACCCGCAGAAGAAGCACCGGCUAACUACGUG
rnacentral:rRNA from 1 species